CCCUAAAUUUGCAAUCAUAAAUCCUAACCCUCCCCCACUCUCCUCAGCGCCGUCACCCUCAUCACAAGCGUACAGAGUUACCCUCUCUCCCUCAGCUUCACCGCGGCACACACAUACACUCAGGACACCACACUCAUUCAGCCCACACCCCUUCUGUCACACACCCACGCCUAGUGAACGGAGCUGCACCACGCGCAGCCCGCCUCGCCAUUGCCGCCGUCAUUAUCGCCGACAAAGAGGACGCCGUCGUCAGCCCCGCGAGAUGCCACCCGCGUCACUGCCGUCGAAGCUCCGCGAUGCUGCCGCCAUUUUGCGAGGAAAGGAUGUUCGCAGAGGGAGCCAGGUGAGAAAGGGAGAGAUGAGCACAAACCAGAUCAGGGGAGAAGGCGCCGUGUCCAGUAGCUGUCGUCGCGUCCCCGCCGUCGUCCUCGUCACAGAGCCAGCUGCCGCCACUUAUAGCAAAUUCAGAGAGAUGGAACUCGGGAAGAGAGGAGACAGAGAGCUCGGAGGCUGAGCUGGGGUUCAACCACCGUGCCCAGCCGUGCUCGCGUCGUCGGCGCCGUUUUCGUCGAAACUGCCGCCGCUUGAGGGGCUAUGCUUGGCCGCCGUUGUGCUGCCCUGCUUCACCGUGGCUGAGCUCUGCUACUCCCUGCUCUUUGGGCUUGUGAUGCUGAUGCGGGAAUUACUACAGGAAGAGAAGAACACGAAGAGGAGAAACUGGGAUCGUUGUUGUCGCCAUCGCUGCUGAAGACCAGCCACCACGCCGAGCUUUUACCGUCACCAUUCUGCCCGGUGUCGCCAGCACUGAAGUCGGCCGCUACCACCGUCGAGCCUUGUUGGAACUGGUGUUGCUUUUGGAGGUUUGGAAGGGAGGCUUGCUCGGAUUUGCUUCUGGUUCUGGUUCUCGCAGCUGCCGGAGCCUCUGCCACCAUCAGAGCUGCCAUUGAAGCUAUUGAUUUGGUUCCAAUUCCUCCAUUUUUGAGACCUGUUGCAUCUCUAUUUUCCCUGUUUACUGCUAGAACUAUCAUAGGGGAUACUGUUGAUGUCAUCAGGAAACUGUUAAAGCUGCUGUUGUUGCUGAUGCGAGUUAGAACGAAGUUGGAGUCACGUUUAAUUUUGUGGAUUUCGACUAACUGAGUGAUACAGGUUCAAAGACACAGUGUGAAGCUGGGGCGAUUGUUAGACCUUAUUUAUGAGUUAAGUUCUUGAAUUGAGUUGCUUUCAUAGAAUUCCCUCGCCCUUGUUAUUUUAGUUUUUAUUUUACACAGAGGGAUAGGAUUUGUAUCUAAGUUUUAUUUGAAAUCUUGUGUAUGACAGAUAUUAUUAUUAGUAAUUAUGUGAUUAUUAUUAUUUGGUGAUGUUUGCUAUAUGACUUGAUAAAUAAAAACAAAAUUUUCUGAUAUUUUUACUAAAACUGGAUCGCGAUAUCGAACUAGAGGCUCAAUAGUAAAUAGUUAAUAAAGGAAAGCAGGUUGGUAACGCCUUACUUUCGGUACGAUCAUGACGUUCUGGAAGUUGGGUCGUUACAUGUAUGCUAUUGAAUUAUGGCUGAUUGCCGAAUGAGUUAUGAGCCAUAUGGCUGCCUAUGAAUUAUGAAUUUAAGCUGGAUGGCUAAGAUGGAUGUUGAUCCAUGGCUGAGAAUGAAUGCAUAUAUGCUAUUGAAUGAAAUGUGAAUGUUGUACUUCCACUAUCGGAGAUACGAGUUUCCCUGGGAGAAAGCAGUGGCUAGCCACCACGUGCUCCAGGUGGAGACUCAAAGCUCUGUUGACCCUAUGUCGUUAGGGUGACCGGGCACUAUGAAAGUCCCGGAUGAGCUCGCCCCCGUGAAUAUUCACCAGUGAGGGUGAUGGAUAUGGAUCACGAUUAUGAUCAUGAUUAUGUUGAGUGUAACUCGAGUUGGGGAAACACGAUAGAGGGACAGUCCAAUGGUUAGCUACCAGGACUUGUCGGGUUGGCUAUAUAACCGACAGAUGAUAUUAUCAGCCACUAGGACAGGCAUGCAUCAUAUGCAUCUAUGUGACAUUAUUUGGGUGUGCAUAUUGUACUUGGUUUGCCUUUAUGAUUACUUGUGAUUAACUGCUAAUUGUUCUACUUGUUAUAACUGUUUGUUUGUGCUUGAACCUUCCUAUUUGUGUUUGCGACGGAAACUCUAUUGGAUUGUGGUGGAUUGGCUAUUGUUGGAUUGUUUGGGCCUAGGGCCGUGGUUGAAAUGAGAUGGACUGAUGGUUGGUUUCGGUUUCGUAUUUCUGGUUUGGAAGAAUAUGAAAAGCUAUUUUGGUUCAGUAUAGAUAAACCUUUUUGAAAGGUUUUUGAGUUUUUGGAGAAUUGAACUGUUCCUCUUUCAGAAAAGAUUUCUGACUUUACUUUUAUUGUAAACCGUUGUUUUUGAAAAGAGGCAUAAGACGGUUAUUAAUCGCUGGUACACUUUAUCUUCACGUAUCCUAUUAUAGUAAUUCCCAAAAAACCCUCUAUUGAGAACCCUUUCGAGGAUGAUAUUCUCACCCCUCGCCUUUAUCUUUACAUAUUUUGUAAGAGGG